CGAGCGGAACGAUCCUAGCUUGCUAGGAGGCGUCGAGCGGCGGACGGGUGAGUAAUGCAUAGGAAUCUGCCCGGUAGUGGGGGAUAACCUGGGGAAACCCAGGCUAAUACCGCAUACGCCCUACGGGGGAAAGCAGGGGAUCUUCGGACCUUGCGCUAUCGGAUGAGCCUAUGUCGGAUUAGCUAGUUGGUGAGGUAACGGCUCACCAAGGCUGCGAUCCGUAGCUGGUCUGAGAGGAUGAUCAGCCACAUCGGGACUGAGACACGGCCCGAACUCCUACGGGAGGCAGCAGUGGGGAAUAUUGGACAAUGGGCGAAAGCCUGAUCCAGCCAUGCCGCGUGUGUGAAGAAGGCCUUCGGGUUGUAAAGCACUUUCAGUGAGGAAGAAAGCCUUGGGGUUAAUACCCUCGAGGGAGGACAUCACUCACAGAAGAAGCACCGGCUAACUCCGUGCCAGCAGCCGCGGUAAUACGGAGGGUGCGAGCGUUAAUCGGAAUUACUGGGCGUAAAGCGCGCGUAGGCGGCUUGAUAAGCCGGUUGUGAAAGCCCCGGGCUCAACCUGGGAACGGCAUCCGGAACUGUCAGGCUAGAGUGCAGGAGAGGAAGGUAGAAUUCCCGGUGUAGCGGUGAAAUGCGUAGAGAUCGGGAGGAAUACCAGUGGCGAAGGCGGCCUUCUGGACUGACACUGACGCUGAGGUGCGAAAGCGUGGGUAGCAAACAGGAUUAGAUACCCUGGUAGUCCACGCCGUAAACGAUGUCGACUAGCCGUUGGGGCUCCUUGAGAGCUUUGUGGCGCAGUUAACGCGAUAAGUCGACCGCCUGGGG
rnacentral:rRNA from 1 species